UUGAAAAAAAAAAAAAAAAUCAUAGUCUAAGAAAUGGAAGCAAAUUAGAUUUUUUGACUAAGCUUUGACCAACGAAGGCUUGCAGCCCAAGCUAAUCAAAAUAGACCCCCACGAUAUGGUUUUGGGAGAACCAGAAAACUACCACCCACAUGGUUGGCCAAAAGGCCCAAGGGUCUUGGCCACUAGGUUGCUUAUGGGCCUGAUCCUUUUUUUUGGAUGAAUGACCUGAUCCUUUUUUUUGGAUGAAUGACCUGAUCCUUAGAGAUUCCUACGACUGUACUUCGGGCCAUGAAAUCGAUCUGCAUCAGCUUCCCGCCUCCUAAAAUCAUUUGACCCUGAUGAAUGGAGGAAGGACAUGUAACGCUCGUAGAGAUCCGGGUUGAGACGCUUGGAGCUGUUGGCAUGGAUCCAUUUACACCAUGUAUAGGUCACCCCUUCCAUUUGGCAAGAAAAGAAUUUGAGCCUUUGCCACCCUGCAUCGUGGUGAACUUGUUGUCGAGGACAUCUUCAAUAUCUUCAUUGAUGGGGACUGCAAAUUGAGGAAGGCGUAGUGUCUACUCAGUGUCACCCUCGUUUGAACUUUGAAUGAUGGCAUACAUAUAGAGUAAGACCCAUUUUGCGAGGAUGCAACUUGUGAUUGGUACCCGGGAGAAGUUGUUCUGAAGCUAUACGAACCAUCACCAAAUCUUCAAGUUGAAGUUCGAAGAAACGAUGAUGUCAGUCAGCUGCUGCCUUGUAUAAUGGCAAUGCAGCAAUGAACGUUAGUGUGAACCUUCGAGACGUGUCUCAGAAACUUGCUUGUCUCAACACUCGCAUGUACAUGAGGGGGUAAUGGUACAAAAUCCAUGGGCCUUUGAGGUUGAAGACUGACAGAAUUUCAAAAGGUGUACGCCUGGUAGUAUGGUCAACGAAAUUGUUGUACGUGAACUCAGAAGUGUCAAGAAUAGAGGGCCAUGUCUUCUUCUGAUCAUGAGCAAGACAACGAAGAAGGUUGCCAAGGCUUCAAUUUACUACUUCUGCCUGCGGGUGGAAUGCUAAAGAGAACUUCAACUUUGUAUACGUCUUUAUCUAUAGUCUUCCAAACCUAGCUCAUAAAUUUCACAUCACGAGAAAAAAAAAAAAAAAGGAUUCCGACAGUCCAUGCAUACAUACCACCUCUUUGAAAAUGAGCUUGGCUAUAUGGCUCGCGCCGAACUUUUUUUGACAUGUUAUAAAGGGAGCCAUUUUUGAGAACCUCUCCACCACCACCACAAAUAUAGAAUCAUGUUGCUCACUUGUUGAUGGUAAGCAGAGGACAAAUUCCAUGCUAAUGUGCAACCACAGUGCAUGUGGUAUGGGUAAAGGUGUGUAUAAACCCGUGUUUUGCUUAUCUCCUUUGGCAAGUUGGCAUGAGUGGUAUCUCUAUAUCACAUGUUGAACAUCCCUCUGUAGGCGUGGCUAAUAGUACAAAUCAACAACUAGUGAUUUUGUCUUGUCCUUGCCAAAAUGUCCACCAAUUCCACCUCUAUGUAAAUCUUGAACUAAGUGCUGCCUCAAGGAUGUGUUCUGUUCUAUGAUGUGUAUUUUUUAAUUAAUCAGUUGGUCUCGGUCCAAAUCAAUUAAUCUGAUAGACCAACUGAUAACCGACGAAUUAGAGGUGUUGAAACUUGGCUGAACUAAUGACCCAAACCAAGUUUGAAAUCAUUUAGCCCACUAAUAACCAAGUUUGAAACUCUCAACUGUCUCCCUCAUGUUUAUAGACUCUCCUUCCCUUCUCUUCUUCUUAAAUUUCCAAUUUGUGAGUAAAAAUUAAUGCAUUCUCUUAGUCUUUUCUCCUCCCUUGGAGCAAAACUUUCAUUUUUUUAGUCCCAUAGUGAAAUUUUUUUUUUUGGGUGAAUUAAUAAUAAAUGCAUUAAAAGAGGGGGAGGGAAAAUAUAUCCCCUAAGGAAAAAUGCAAGCCCAAUAAGGGAACCAAAGUCCAAAGAAGAUAGCAACCAAGGCCAAGUGGGCUUGAUGUGACAUGUCUAAUACAAUUUAAGCCCAAAUGGACAAAACAAGAGCUAGAAGCCCAACAACU